UUCCCCUUCCUCAUCCUCACGCCGCUCGCUCCCCCCGACUCCCCCUCUCCCCGACCGCUUGCUUCCUUCCCCUUUCUCCCGCCCCUCUCCACCAAACCCUCAGGCCGUCUCCCUCCCUCCGCCUCCCCACUCACCAUCUCCCCGUGGUGUCCUCCGCGGCUCCUUCGGGCGCGGUGGCGUCGGCGACGGAGCGCCCUCGCUUCCUAGAGCGGUGCGGCCUCAACGCCGACGAGUUCGACGACGAUGCCGAGGCGGAACCCAUGGUUGGCUUGUUCGGUAGAUCGAUUAGGGGUCUCGCGGAGGUUAAUUUCACUGCGGUUUCUGGUGGUUUGAGUGUAUUUUUGUUUGUUUGUUUUCAAGAAGAGAGGAGGAGGGGAAGGCCAUCGUCAUUGCUGGAUCUGGUCUCUCCUUGCUCAGCGGUAGCGGCAACGUCCUCCCCUUUGUCCUGGCCUCCCCAUCCUCCUCCCAAAAAAUCCCCCACUGCUGGCUUCAUCGGUGACGGCGAUGACGCACAGUAGCUCCCGCGUCGCCCACUCCGCUAGAUAUGGAGGCACCUCGUCCUCUUCUUCGUCUCAGCGCCAGGCAGUCCCCUCGUCCUCGGCACCAUCGUCGACACCAAAGGAACAAUGACGAGGCCUCUGGGUGGAGACGAGGAUCUCGGUGGCGAUGCGGCCGGAGGCAAUACAACGUUCCCACUGUUAGCAUGACAUUGAAGUGUGGUUGAUUAGGCGAAGGAAGAUAUAUUUUGGUUGGAGGAUUGCAGGGAUGUAAGCGGUUUGAAUAACAUUUGGGGCUAAUCUGAGAAAGAGGUUCCAGUGUUUCCUCUGCGAAAGUUGUUGCGAAAAGCAGCUGGACAAGACAAUUAUGAGGUAAUAAAGACUAUUCAUUUCUUUGAUUGUUGGGGGUGCGCUUCAGACCUGUGGUCAUGCCGCCGGCAACCGCAUUAAUUCAGCUAAGAUGCGGUUCUUGAUUUGUUGGCGAAAACCCAGAUUCUGGGAAAUCAUUGAGCUGACCUGGAGUUCUUGUUCAGUGUUUUGCUCUUCGACUAAGAAUCUGGAUAUGGCGAGCUUUCAGCAGGAAACAAAGGCCAGGAAUGAUCAAGGGCCUGUUGCUGAUCACGUUAGGCAUCAGAACCAUGGAAAACCUCACAGAUCAUCCAGAAAAAACUCUCAGAAUGCAAAGGAUCUAGGAUUUUCUCCAUCGAGUUUGUUGCCCUGAUUGCAUUUUGCCCCUUUAGUUCAGAGUUGUUCAUUCUCUCGUGAGUAUGCUUGAGAAACCAGUCUGUUGGUCAUUCUCUCGUGAGUAUGCUUGAGAAUCCCGUCUAUUUUUUUAUGUGUUCCUGCUAGAACCUGAGUUGUGUGGCUGCCUUCUCAUCUCAACCCAUAGAAGCUAUUUCUGAUUUUUUUUUUUUUGGCCUGCUUGUUUUGGGGGCUGACAUGCAUAGCAUCAGUAAUACCUUCUUAACAUAAGCUGCGCCUACUAUUUUACUAUCCUCUUUUAUGUUUAAGAUGGUUGCCAGUUCAAUAACACAUCUGCAUCCAUAGCGAUUCCAUCAUGUUGCUUCGUUUGUCCAUGCAGGGAAAGGAGACCGCACAAAGCAUCCGUUAAUUUAUCCAUUCAGAAUAAGAUACCAAGGAAACCCACUAAAAUGAUAGUUGGCAACAACCUAGCAAGAAGAACCUAAGGUGGUUCUUUUUAUUUUUCCAACAUAUUAUGUCUGCUUUUGAUUUGGGUUUAAUAGUUUUUGUUGGUGACCAUAGUAUUGCGUUUUCUUAAAAUAAGCUCUCACGUUAGUAGGUGGCUAUGAGCUACCAUGAGGUGGUCACUGUUCUUUGCUCCUGAUUAAAUGCAAGUGUUGCUUGUGCAGGUGAUGGAAAAAGCAACAAGUACUUAGCGUUUGUCAUUCUCUCCAGCAGGCCCAGCAAAUAUGAUAUAAGAUAAUGUUAGUCAUGGUCCCUCAUCUUGAAAAGGUCGCUGCUGACAUUCCUCAAACAAAUAUAUGAGCCUGUAUAUACCGUACUAUUUAAUGGUCGUCUCAAAUGAUAAAUAUAUGAAAGUAUUAUAUGUUUACCGUGUAUUAUGCAAGAGUACAUGAGCUUGUCAGGUUG